CCUACGAGAGGCAGCAGUGAGGAAUAUUGGUCAAUGGACGAGAGUCUGAACCAGCCAAGUAGCGUGAAGGAUGACUGCCCUAUGGGUUGUAAACUUCUUUUAUAUGGGAAUAAAAUGUUCCACGUGUGGGAUUUCGUAUGUACCAUAUGAAUAAGGAUCGGCUAACUCCGUGCCAGCAGCCGCGGUAAUACGGAGGAUCCGAGCGUUAUCCGGAUUUAUUGGGUUUAAAGGGAGCGUAGGUGGAUUGUUAAGUCAGUUGUGAAAGUUUGCGGCGCAACCGUAAAAUUGCAGUUGAAACUGGAAGGCUGGAGUACAGUAGAGGUGGGCGGAAUUCGUGGUGUAGCGGUGAAAUGCUUAGAUAUCACGAAGAACUCCGAUUGCGAAGGCAGCUAACUGGACUGCAACUGACACUGAGGCUCGAAAGUGUGGGUAUCAAACAGGAUUAGAUACCCCAGUAGUC
rnacentral:rRNA from 1 species